rnacentral:tRNA from 3 species
GGAGGCGCAUGCGGUCCGGUGGCCGUCACGAACUUCAAAUUCGCUGCGUCCGUGUGGCAACACGGAUGGGUGGGUUCGACUCCCACACGCCUUCGUCUCCA